AAUGAACGCUGGCGGCGGGCCUAAUACAUGCAAGUCGAGCGAACGGACGGGAAUCUUUCUUCGCUGAUGUUAGCGGCGGACGGGUGAUGCAUACGUGGAUAACCUACCUAUAGGACUGUGAUACCUUCAGGAAACCUUAGCUAAUACCGGAUAAUAUUUUGAACCUCAUGGUUCACAAGUCAAAUACGGUCUUGCUGUCACUUAUAGAUGGAUCCGCGCUGCAUUAGCAAGUUGGUAAGGUGACGGCUUACCAAGGCUACGAUGCAUAGCCGACCUGAGAGGGUGAUCGGCCACACGGGAACUGAGACACGGUACAGACUCCUACGGGAGGCAGCAGUAGGGAAUCUUACGCAAUGGGCGAAAGCGUGACCGAGCAAAGCCGCGUGAGUGAUGAAGGUCUUCGGAUCGUAAAACUCUGUUAUUAGGGAAGAAGAUAUGUGUAAGUAACUGUGCAGAUCUUGACGGUACCUAAUGAGAAAGCCCCGGCUAACUACGUG
rnacentral:rRNA from 1 species